ensembl:snoRNA
AGCACCAUUUAUUGAAGAUAAUUUGAUAGGAAUCUCAUUGAAUCUGUAGA